AUCCAGUUGAAGAGUCCCAAAUAAAACGAAACGCGCGGCCUGGAU
rfam:Schistosoma haematobium scaffold1860_10, whole genome shotgun sequence.